AUCGCGGACCGCCGAGCGCGGCAUGACCUGCCGCACGACCCCGUCUGCAAGUUAUGCGGCCAGGACAGCGAGACACUCCACCAUCUCCUUGUUGGGUGCGUCUUCUCGCGCAUUGCCUGGCACGACAUCUUGGCAUGGUGCCGCACGCCAGCAUCACCCCCCGACGGCAACACCGGCUUCUUCGAAUGGUGGACCGCUACCAAUGUCCUGACAAGCCUACGCAAGGGCAUCAACUCCCUGGUAAUCCUCACCUCCUGGGCCAUAUGGAAGCACCGCAAUGCCGUCCUCUUCGACAACGCAUCACCCAACCACAACUCCCUCCUAGACGACAUCAAGCAGGAGGUGAAACUCUGGGCAAGAGCCGGCACCAAAGGGCUCGAUCGGAUCAUUCCUGUAACAUAA
rnacentral:rRNA from 1 species